GAUGAACGCUGGCGGCGUGCCUAAUACAUGCAAGUCGAACGAAACUUCUUUAUCACCGAGUGCUUGCACUCACCGAUAAAGAGUUGAGUGGCGAACGGGUGAGUAACACGUGGGCAACCUGCCCAAAAGAGGGGGAUAACACUUGGAAACAGGUGCUAAUACCGCAUAACCAUAGUUACCGCAUGGUAACUAUGUAAAAGGUGGCUAUACUACCGCUUUUGGAUGGGCCCGCGGCGCAUUAGCUAGUUGGUAGGGUAAAGGCUUACCAAGGCAAUGAUGCGUAGCCGAAUUGAGAGGUUGAUCGCCCACAUUGGGACUGAGACACGGCCCAAACUCCUACGGGAGGCAGCAGUAGGGAAUCUUCCACAAUGGGCGAAAGCCUGAUGGAGCAACGCCGCGUGGGUGAAGAAGGUCUUCGGAUCGUAAAACCCUGUUGUUAGAGAAGAAAGUGCGUGAGAGUAACUGUUCACGUUUCGACGGUAUCUAACCAGAAAGCCACGGCUAACUACGUG
rnacentral:rRNA from 1 species